UCGGCCCCGGUUCACGCCAGGCAAUCGGCCUGUCGACCCGGAGCC
rfam:Streptomyces albus subsp. albus strain NRRL B-2513 B2513contig6.1, whole genome shotgun sequence.